AAAAACCUGAAUACAGAAUUCUUCAAAGAACUUGACAAAUACACUCCUCGCUUCUUUGAGAUCUUCAAGACCAAGGGGGGAAGUGUUGGCCAGAAACUUAAGACUUAUCUGCAACAAGUCACACCAGAGAGUACAGAUGUUACUGCGAAGCGAACAGCUGUCCUCCGUGGCCUUCCUGUCAUCCUUGGAGAUGAGAACACAGACUUCUUCAUGACAUGCUUUGACUGCGAUGACCCAGGCAUAUCUCACACCCCCAUUGGAAUCCUGACCACUGUUCCUGAGGACGAACAGCUCUCCCUUGACUCACUGCACCUUCAGACUUCAGGUACCGCAAUCAUUUUGGAAGGAAGAAUUGUGAUGGAUGACCUUGAAAAUCUUCCACAUGCCAUGUGCUUGCUCUUUGGACUUACUUACGCCCUGAAUUUGGAGUACCCUCAACAACUGAAGUACACCUUUGACUUCAUUCAAAGGGUGCUUCUCUCACUUGGACAUAAAUCCCUAAAACCAAAAAUACAAUCACUCAAAAAUCUUCUGAUGCAAUGAGUGAAUGUAAUCAUGAUGUGAAUGUGACUUGACAUCUUGGGUCACAUUGAUGCCUUUACCCUUAUUGGAAAAGUGAUAUUUUUUUCUUGUUUGAGCCUUUUUUGUGGGAAGGAACCUCAUCACCCAUUUUAGACUACUGAAUGUUUUUUAUGUUCAUGAGGAGAAAAAUGAACACCUACUUUCCUUUUAGCUUUUGUUUUUCCUUUUGUGUUGAUGCUGAAAUGAUCGUGGUGAUAUUGAUUACCAGGUUCUGGAGCAAGUUCUCUCUGACUUAAUAUAUUUCGUAAGUCAAGCUCUGCUGCAGUUCUAAACUCAACCACUAAGAAUUAAAAUCAGAAAGCUCUUAGCAGUUUUUAGCGGGAGCUGGCUCAAACAUAAGAAUUACAGUUGCACAUUCAGUUGAAAUAAUAGGUGGAUUGUAAACAGUUGAGCAAUGUCUGCUGUUCACUUUAUUGAUGUUAAAUGUUAGACCCUGCAAUUGACUACUGAGUUUAUCUGUAGUUCACACUAUAGUCAACAGAGAUAUUUAAGCAGGAAUUCUCAAAGUUUUACUGGAAGCAUGCAUUUCAUGUCACCUUUACUCAGUGGGUUGCCAUUGUAGACUGCACUUUAAGAACCCCUGUAUGUAAAGUGUGUUCUGAACAAAAAAGUUAAAUUAUUAAACUUUGUUUCCAUUCAAACUGUUGUCUUUCUUUGUUUCUAUAGCUUAUCACUUUAAGUUCAUCUUACUUGAACAUAUCAAGGCAAUCGGUUUCCUGAUAUUUUGCUAGUAAGGUGAAUGCUUAAACUUGUAAAGUUAACUUAUAGUUUACGAGUACUGCUUAAUUUACAUAACUCAUGAAUUUAAGUAGACAAAAUUGACAUUUUAUAGUGAAACUAUCUAAUGAUUUUGAGUUAACUUUACUCAAAUUUACUGGCACUGUAUGACUUGUCUGAAUUUAUAUUUUAUAGUUAACCUAACUAAUGAUUUUUAGUUAACUUCACUCAGGUUUACUGACAUUAUCUGAGUUGUCUAAACACAGUUAUUUUCAGCUUUAACAACUUAAAAUGAAUUAUCUACUUUACUUGGGAAUUUUGAGGCAAUCGGUUUCCUGACUUUUUUUAAGUAAAGUCAACUUAUUACAUUU